rnacentral:rRNA from 1 species
AGAGUUUGAUCCUGGCUCAGGACGAACGCUGGCGGCGUGCCUAACACAUGCAAGUCGAACGGAGACAGUAGCAAUAUUGUCUUAGUGGCGGACGGGUGAGUAACGCGUGAGCAAUCUGCCCUUCGGUGGGGGACAACAGCUGGAAACGGCUGCUAAUACCGCAUAACGUAUAUUGGUGGCAUCAUCGAUAUACCAAAGAUUUAUCGCCGAAGGAUGAGCUCGCGUCUGAUUAGCUAGUUGGUAGGGUAACGGCCUACCAAGGCUUCGAUCAGUAGCCGGACUGAGAGGUUGAACGGCCACAUUGGGACUGAGAUACGGCCCAGACUCCUACGGGAGGCAGCAGUGGGGAAUAUUGGGCAAUGGGCGAAAGCCUGACCCAGCAACGCCGCGUGAAGGAAGAAGGCUUUCGGGUUGUAAACUUCUUUGACCAGGGACGAAAUUUGACGGUACCUGGAAAACAAGCCACGGCUAACUACGUGCCAGCAGCCGCGGUAAUACGUAGGUGGCAAGCGUUGUCCGGAUUUACUGGGUGUAAAGGGCGCGUAGGCGGGACUGCAAGUCAGAUGUGAAAUCUGGGGGGCUAAACCCUCAAACCUGCAUUUGAAACUGUGGGUUCUUGAGUAUCGGAGAGGCAGGC